AAUUUGAAAUCUAUAAAUCGUAUCUCCUGCCCUAUGAACUAUUAAAUGGCUGCAGUAUCCUUAACUGUACAAAGGUAGCAUAAUAACUUGCUUAUUAAUUGUAAGCUAGAAUGAAUGGAUUAACGCAAUUAAAACUGUUCCAAAUAUUACAUAACAAAUUAAUAUAUAAGUGAAAAAGCUUAUAUCCCCUCAUAAGACAAGAAGACCCUAUAGAGCUCAGAUUAGCCGUUUAACUUUUAUAAAUAUUUAAUCUUAAUUGGGGCGAUUCAGGUUACAAUUAACAACCAAUUCAAACAAAACUCAUAAGUUUAACAAAUGACCCACAUUCAUGAUCAUAAGUUCAGCUACCUUAGGGAUAACAGGCUAAUUUUCUUUUAGAGCCCACAUCUACAAGAAAGUUUGGCACCUCGAUGUUGGCUUAUAAAUUCUCUAUGGCGCAGCAGUCAUACAAAGAAGGUUUGUUCAACCAUUAAAUUUAU
rnacentral:rRNA from 1 species